rnacentral:rRNA from 1 species
GCAAUGCCGCGUGUGUGAUGAAGGCCUUCGGGUUGUAAAGCACUUUUAUCAGGAACGAAAUACUACUGGCUAAUAACCGGUGGGGCUGACGGUACCUGAGGAAUAAGCACCGGCUAACUUCGUGCCAGCAGCCGCGGUAAUACGAAGGGUGCAAGCGUUAAUCGGAAUUACUGGGCGUAAAGCGUGCGUAGGCGGUUUGUUAAGUCUGUUGUGAAAUCCCCGGGCUCAACCUGGGAAUGGCAAUGGAUACUGGCAAGCUAGAGUGUGAUAGAGGAUGGUGGAAUUCCCGGUGUAGCGGUGAAAUGCGUAGAGAUCGGGAGGAACAUCAGUGGCGAAGGCGGCCAUCUGGAUCAACACUGACGCUGAGGCACGAAGCGUGGGGAGCAAACAGGAUUAGAUACCCUGGUAGUCCACGCCCUAAACGAUGCCAACUGGAUGUUGGUCUCAACUCGGAGAUCAGUGUCGAAGCUAACGCGUUAAGUUCGCCGCCUGGGGAGUACGGUCGCAAGACUGAAACUCACAGGAAUUGACGGGGGCCCGCACAAGCGGUGGAGUAUGUGGUUUAAUUCGAUGCAACGCGAAGAACCUUACCUGGCCUUGACAUGUCUGGAAUCCUGCAGAGAUGC